CCUACGGGUGGCAGCAGUGAGGAAUAUUGGUCAAUGGACGAGAGUCUGAACCAGCCAAGUAGCGUGAAGGAUGACUGCCCUAUGGGUUGUAAACUUCUUUUAUAUGGGAAUAAAACGUUCCACGUGUGGGAUUUUGUAUGUACCAUAUGAAUAAGGAUCGGCUAACUCCGUGCCAGCAGCCGCGGUAAUACGGAGGAUCCGAGUGUUAUCCGGAUUUAUUGGGUUUAAAGGGAGCGUAGGUGGAUUGUUAAGUCAGUUGUGAAAGUUUGCGGCUCAACCGUAAAAUUGCAGUUGAAACUGGCAGUCUUGAGUACAGUAGAGGUGGGCGGAAUUCGUGGUGUAGCGGUGAAAUGCUUAGAUAUCACGAAGAACUCCGAUUGCGAAGGCAGUUCACUGGACUGCAACUGACACUGAGGCUCGAAAGUGUGGGUAUCAAACAGGAUUAGAUACCCUAGUAGUC
rnacentral:rRNA from 1 species